rnacentral:rRNA from 1 species
GAUGAACGCUGGCGGCGUGCCUAACACAUGCAAGUCGAACGUGAAAGGUGAGACAAAUACUUCGGUAGAUGGAUUGCCUGGAAAGUGGCGAACGGGUGAGUAACACGUAGGUAACCUGCCUCGGAGUGGGGGAUAACCAUUGGAAACGAUGGCUAAUACCGCAUGUGUCCACGGUAACGGGAGUUAGCGUGGGCAAAGUUCAGGCGCUUCGAGAGGGGCCUGCGUCCGAUUAGCUAGUUGGUGAGGUAAAGGCUCACCAAGGCCGAGAUCGGUAGCUGGUCUGAGAGGACGAUCAGUCACACGGGAACUGAGACACGGUCCCGACACCUACGGGUGGCAG